GUGCUCGCUUCGGCAGCACAUAUACCAAAACUGGAAUGAUACAGAAAAGGUUAGAAUGGCCCCUGAUUCAAGGAUGAUGUGCAAAUUAGGGAAGCAUUCCAUAUUUUU